AGAGUUUGAUCCUGGCUCAGGAUGAACGCUAGCGGCAGGCUUAACACAUGCAAGUCGAGGGGCAGCACGGGUAGCAAUACCUGGUGGCGACCGGCGGAAGGGUGCGUAACGCGUGAGCAACAUGCCCUAUACAGGGGAAUAAACCAGGGAAACUUGGUCUAAUGCCCCAUAGCAAUAAGAUAAGGCAUCUUAUUUUAUUUAAAGCUUCGGUGGUAUAGGAUUGGCUCGCGUGACAUUAGCUGGAUGGUGGGGUAACGGCCCACCAUGGCGAUGAUGUCUAGGGGUUCUGAGAGGAAGACCCCCCACACUGGGACUGAGACACGGCCCAGACUCCUACGGGAGGCAGCAGUGAGGAAUAUUGGACAAUGGAUGGAAAUCUGAUCCAGCCAUGCCGCGUGCAGGAAGACGGCCCUAUGGGUUGUAAACUGCUUUUCUACGGGAGCAAUAAGGUCUACGCGUAGACUGAUGAGAGUACCGUAGGAAUAAGCAUCGGCUAACUCCGUGCCAGCAGCCGCGGUAAUACGGAGGAUGCGAGCGUUAUCCGGAUUUAUUGGGUUUAAAGGGUGCGUAGGCGGCUUUUUAAGUCAGCGGUGAAAUUUUGCAGCUUUAACUGUACCAGUGCCCGUUGAAUAUUGGGGAGCUAGGAUUUAGGUUCCUCUGGGUGACAUGUUUGGUGUAGCGGUGAAAAUGCCUUAGAGGAUCCACCCGAAUAUUCGAUCGAAGGGCAGCUCACAAAAGCCAAGAUUGACGCUAGGCACGAAAAGUGUGGGGAUCAAACCAGGAUUAGAUACCCUGGUAGUCCACACUGUAAACGAUGAUAACUCGCUGUCGGCGAUACACAGUCGGUGGCCAAGCGAAAGCGAUAAGUUAUCCACCUGGGGAGUACGACCGCAAGGUUAAACUCAAAGGAAUUGACGGGGGCCCGCACAAGCGGAGGAACAUGUGGUUUAAUUCGAUGAUACGCGAGGAACCUUACCCGGGCUCGAACGGUGCAUGAAUGGACAAGAGAUUGUUCAGACCUUAGGGACAUGUAUCGAGGUGCUGCAUGGUUGUCGUCAGCUCGUGCCGUGAGGUGUCGGCUAGCCAUAACGAGCGCAACCCUUGUCAUUAGUUACCAUCAGGUAGAGCUGGGGACUCUAAUGAGACUGCCACCGUAAGGUGAGAGGAAGGGGGGGAUGACGUCAAAUCAGCACGGCCCUUAUGUCCGGGGCGACACACGUGUUACAAUGGGGGGUACAGAGGGCAGCCAUCCGGCGACGGAGCGCCAAUCUCAAAAACCCUUCUCAGUUCGGAUUGGAGUCUGCAACUCGACUCCAUGAAGUUGGAUUCCAGUAAUCGCGCAUCGGCCAUGGCGCGGUGAAUACGUUCCCGGGCCUUGUAACCGCCCGUCAAGCCAUGGAAGCUUGGGGUGCCUGAAGUUCGUGACCGCAAGGAGCGACCUAGGGCAUAUGAACUGGGGCUAAGUCGUAACAAGG
rnacentral:rRNA from 1 species